rnacentral:rRNA from 1 species
UUGCCGGCGACCGGCGCACGGGUGCGUAACGCGUAUGUAACCUACCUAUAACAGGGGCAUAACACUGAGAAAUUGGUACUAAUUCCCCAUAAUAUUCGGAGAGGCAUCUCUCCGGGUUGAAAACUCCGGUGGUUAUAGAUGGACAUGCGUUGUAUUAGCUAGUUGGUGAGGUAACGGCUCACCAAGGCAACGAUACAUAGGGGGACUGAGAGGUUAACCCCCCACACUGGUACUGAGACACGGACCAGACUCCUACGGGAGGCAGCAGUGAGGAAUAUUGGUCAAUGGACGCAAGUCUGAACCAGCCAUGCCGCGUGCAGGAAGACGGCUCUAUGAGUUGUAAACUGCUUUUGUACGAGGGUAAACUCACCUACGUGUAGGUGACUGAAAGUAUCGUACGAAUAAGGAUCGGCUAACUCCGUGCCAGCAGCCGCGGUAAUACGGAGGAUUCAAGCGUUAUCCGGAUUUAUUGGGUUUAAAGGGUGCGUAGGCAGUUUGAUAAGUUAGAGGUGAAAUCCCGGGGCUUAACUCCGGAACUGCCUCUAAUACUGUUAGACUAGAGAGUAGUUGCGGUAGGCGGAAUGUAUGGUGUAGCGGUGAAAUGCUUAGAGAUCAUACAGAACACCGAUU